GACGAACGCUGGCGGCGUGCUUAACACAUGCAAGUCGAACGAUAAGGCCCUGCUUUUGGGGGGUGCUCGAGGCGAAAAGGGGUGUAAUACACGAGUAACCCGUGCUCUACACUUGGGUAAAACUUCGAGACACUGGCUCAUACACGAUACUACAUCCUCCGCCACGUGGUGGGGUGUGGAGAGUUUAAGCGGUUGGGGAUGGGCUCGCGGCUUAUCAGCUUGUUGGUGGGGUAGUGGCUUACCAAGGCUACGACGGGUAGCCGGCCUGAGAGGGUGACCGGCCCCAUUGGACCUGGGCUCCGGCCCGGACCCCAACGGGAGGCAGCAGUGGGGAAUAUUGCACAUUGGGCGGAGGCCUGUUGCAGCAACGCCGCGUGCGGGAUGACGGCCUUCGGGUUGUAAACCGCUUUCGCCGGGGACGAAGCGUGAGUGACGGUAAUGGGUAAAGAAGCGCCGGCUAACUACGUG
rnacentral:rRNA from 1 species